UACGGAGGGUGCAAGCGUUAAUCGGAAUUACUGGGCGUAAAGCGUGCGCAGGCGGUUUUGUAAGUCUGUCGUGAAAUCCCCGGGCUUAACCUGGGAAUUGCGAUGGAGACUGCAAGGCUAGAAUCUGGCAGAGGGGGGUAGAAUUCCACGUGUAGCAGUGAAAUGCGUAGAGAUGUGGAGGAACACCGAUGGCGAAGGCAGCCCCCUGGGUCAAGAUUGACGCUCAUGCACGAAAGCGUGGGGAGCAAACAGG
rnacentral:rRNA from 1 species